AUGAGCAGGAAGCGGUCGGGUCUGGGCCGUUGCAGGCAUUUCUUUUGGCUGGGCGUCGUCUUCGACAUGGUGGGGGCGGUGAUGCUGUUCGUCGGCAUCUUCGCCGAGCUGAUCUUCUACGACAUGCUGCUCUACAUGGGCGCCAUCAUCAUCUUCCUCAGCCUGCUCUGGUGGGUCUCCUGGUACACCGGCAACAUCGAACUGCUUCCCGAAGAGACCCUCGGGCUGACCUCCCAGCUGGCCUCCAGAAACAUGGUGAGCGCCCUGCAGCAGAGCGUCAGCCACCGCUUCUCUUGGUCCAUGGGGACCCUCUCCAACAGCUUUCUGCGGAUCCGGCGACAGCGGCAGCGGCGGCGCUCCUGGAGGACCCUGCAGAGGACGGCUGCCCCGGGGAUGACCGGUACCGGCCAGCUCGAGCAAGAAGCCGAAGGUGACAGGGACAGCGACCACUGCCAGGCCUUUUGCCAAGGGGCUCUGAGCAGCACGCCUGAAGACGAGGGAAGUUCAGAGUCCUUUGGACCCCCAAGCCCUGACUCAGGUCCGCCAUGGUUUGAUCGGCAACCCUUGCCUCAUCUGGUCCCGCCCGUUCUCCCUCUGUCCACUCUGGACCAGCCUUUGCCUUCUACUGUUUCAUUCCCUAAGAGUCUGCCUGUAGUUCCCUUGGUUUCUUCCACUCAGAAUCCAGCCUUCUCUACGUGUAGGAGCCACCCUGUAAUUUCUGAGGCCUCUCGGAGCCACGUCCUAGGCCCUAUGGCCUCACAGAGCCACCUCCAGGUCCCUGUGGCCUCUGAAAGCCAACCUGUGUUGCUGGCAGCCUCUCGUAGUUUCCUCCACGUCCCUGGGGCCUCUCAGACCCACCGUCUGGCUCCUAUGGACUCUCAGAGCCAUCCUCUGGCACCUGUGUACUCUCAGAGCCACACCUUGUUACCUGCGGCCUCACGGAGCCACCUCCAGGUCCCUGUGACCUCUGAAAGUCAACCUGUGUUGCUGGCAGCCUCUCGGAGUUGCCACCAUGUCACUAGGGCCUCUCAGACCCACUGUCUGGCUCCUAUGGACUCUCAGAGCCAUCCUCUGGCACCUGUGUACUCUCAGAGCCACACCUUGUUACCUGUGGCCUCACGGAGCCACCUCCAGGUCCCUGUGACCUCUGAAAGUCAACCUGUGUUGCUUGCAGCCUCUCGGAGCUGCCACCAUGUCACUAGGGCCUCUCAGACCCACUGUCUGGCUCCUAUGGACUCUCAGAGCCAUCCUCUGGCACCUGUGAACUCUCAGAGCCACACCAUGUCACCUGCAGCCUCACGGAGCCACCUCCAGGUCCCUGUGACCUCUAAGAGCCAGCCUCUGCCUUCUGCGGCCUCUCAGUGCCAUCUCCAGGUCCCUGUGACCUCUAAGAGCCAGCCUCUGCCUUCUGCGGCCUCUCAGUGCCAUCUCCGGGUCCCUGUGUCCUCUCAGAGCCAACCUGUGGUGUCUGUGGCCUCACAGAGGCAGCACUGGAAUUUUCCUCUGGUCUCUGGACCUCAGCCUCCACCUGUUCAGGCUUCUGGAACCCAGGCUGCGGGCACCCAGGUUCCUGUGCUGCAGCGUCUGUCUGACCAGGCUUUCCAGACUGUAGACCCAGCGGAUUCAGAGACUGGGCGGGCCCUGCUUCCGCCUCCCCAGGCCACUGAGAGCAUCUGUGCAGUGCAGGAGAUUUCUCUACGUCAGGCUGCACCUGGCCUGGAGGCACCUACGGAGCCACUUGCGCAGGCUUCUGAGACCGCCCCACCUCCAGGACAGCGCCCCGACACCGCGUCACCUGCCUCUGAGGCUGCACCUCCAGCCACUCCGGGGCAACCAUUCGUCCCCACUGAGACCACUCCAGCCUCAAAGCCCAAGAAGAAAAGUCAUUCUGUCUAG
ensembl:lncRNA